rnacentral:rRNA from 1 species
GACGAACGCUGGCGGCGUGCCUAAUACAUGCCAGUCGAGCGGACCGAACAGGAGCUUGCUCUUGUUCGGUUAGCGGCGGACGGGUGAGUAACACGUGGGUAACCUGCCCGUAAGACCGGGAUAACUCCGGGAAACCGGAGCUAAUACCGGAUAACACCGAAGACCGCAUGGUCUUUGGUUGAAAGGCGGCUUCGGCUGCCACUUACGGAUGGGCCCGCGGCGCAUUAGCUAGUUGGUGAGGUAACGGCUCACCAAGGCGACGAUGCGUAGCCGGCCUGAGAGGGUGACCGGCCACACUGGGACUGAGACACGGCCCAGACUCCUACGGGAGGCAGCAGUAGGGAAUCUUCCGCAAUGGACGAAAGUCUGACGGAGCGACGCCGCGGGAGCGAAGAAGGUCUUCGGAUCGUAAAGCUCGGUUGUUAGGGAAGAAGAAGCGUCGUUCGAACAGGGCGGCGCGGUGACGGUACCUAACGAGAAAGCCCCGGCUAACUACGUG